rnacentral:rRNA from 1 species
UACGUAGGGUGCGAGCGUUAAUCGGAAUUACUGGGCGUAAAGCGUGCGCAGGCGGUGAUGUAAGACAGUUGUGAAAUCCCCGGGCUCAACCUGGGAACUGCAUCUGUGACUGCAUUGCUGGAGUGCGGCAGAGGGGGAUGGAAUUCCGCGUGUAGCAGUGAAAUGCGUAGAUAUGCGGAGGAACACCGAUGGCGAAGGCAAUCCCCUGGACCUGUACUGACGCUCAUGCACGAAAGCGUGGGGAGCAAACAGG